AUGGCCUCCUCCGUCAUGGAGGAGGACAUAACGAAGCUUUGUGGGGCCGGAUACCUAUCUGCAAACAUCACACACCGGCUUCCGGCCGAAGGGCAGAUCAUCCCCACCCCGAAACCCCAGGAGAGGGUAGUGUUCCUCUCUCACUUCGUCCGCGGACUGGGAUUUCCCCUCAACCCAUUCGUCCGCGGACUCAUGUUUUACUACGGGCUGGACUUUCAUGAUCUGGACCCCAACUUCAUCCUCAACAUCUCGGCGUUCAUCAUCGUGUGCGAGGCCUUCCUCCGCAUCACGCCCCACUUUGGCCUAUAG
rnacentral:rRNA from 1 species